rnacentral:rRNA from 1 species
UACGUAGGGGGCUAGCGUUGUCCGGAUUUAUUGGGCGUAAAGAGCGUGUAGGCGGCCAGGUAGGUCUGCUGUGAAAACUCGAGGCUCAACCUCGAGAUGUCGGCGGAAACCAUCUGGCUAGAGUCCGGAAGAGGAGAGUGGAAUUCCGAGUGUAGAGGUGAAAUUCGUAGAUAUUCGGAAGAACACCAGUGGCGAAGGCGGCUCACUGGUCCGGUACUGACGCUGAUGUGCGAAAGCGUGGGGAGCAAACAGG